ensembl:lncRNA
GAGAAAAAUCCCCUUUUGACCCCUGCCUGUAAUAGUGUGUUGGGUUCUGAACUUCAUUUAAUGGAUAUUGUGUUUUGGAAAUGUGGCAUUUGGAGCCUUUUUACUUAAACUGAGCAAUCCAGUGGUCAACUUUGACAAGUUGUGUGCUGUUUUACCAACCCAAAAAAUUUAAACAUUGGUUUUUCAUGCACUGGACAAUUUUGAGAUUUUGGGCUGUUUGGCUUUGCAUAACAUGUAAUUUCAGACAAGUGGAAAGAAAAAAUCCAAAGCACACAUUUAAGUGUUUAUUUCAUUCUCUUUGUGUCUGUAGAUUUCAAUUCGUAUCUUUAAAGGCCAGGAGCUUUUUCUCCACUUCAGCCGCAUUUACACACACCAGACUUAAGAGUUUUAUUUCUAUCUGUAUUUUGAAGGUUUUUAUAGAGGGGUUUGUGCAUAUAUCAUUCACCUGGUCUUAUCAUUGCACUUUAUAUAUUUAUUAUUAUUAUUUACUUAUUUGAGGUGCACGUGUGGGAACUGUGUUAGAAUGCCCAGUGAGGCUGAAAACACAGUGUCUUCUUGAAAUGAUGUAAACACACUAACUAGUGGAAGUGUUUGUGGGCAGGUCAGAGUGUUCGUAUUUAGCGGGCAGGCAGGGAUUAUGCAAAUGUGUUACCUUGUGACGUAUAUAGGUAACAGGCAGAAGAUUCAAAAAUAUGAUGACUCGUUAAGGCAGUUCAGAGUCGACUCUUUCUUUUGAAAGACAAUAUCUUUAUCAUGCACUUUUUUGAUUAACAACUUUGCAGACUAUUUACACUGAAGUAUAGCUACAUUACAAACUGCAAAAAAAAAUUCUUCAAAAAAACAUUUGACCUGCUCUUUAAGGUGUUGAAUAGUUAGAGAUAGCCCAAAACAAUAUAAAGCAAAAAAAAAAAAAUAAAAAAAAUAAAACCAUAUAUUUUAUUGGUAAAAAUAUUUCUGUUGCAUAUUAUAUUUUAAAUUUUGGUAGUAUAACAAUUAUAUAUAUAUAUAUAUAUAUAUAUAUAUAUAUAUAUAUAUAUAUAUAUAUAUAUA